CAAGCCUGAUCCAGCCAUGCCGCNNNUGUGAAGAAGGCUUUCGGGUUGUAAAGCACUUUCAGUGAGGAAGAACGCCUUGGGGCGAAUAGCCCUGAGGAAAGACAUCACUCACAGAAGAAGCACCGGCUAACUCCGUGCCAGCAGCCGCGGUAAUACGGAGGGUGCAAGCGUUAAUCGGAAUGACUGGGCGUAAAGCGCGCGUAGGUGGCGUGAUAAGCCGGUUGUGAAAGCCCCGGGCUCAACCUGGGAAUGGCAUCCGGAACUGUCAGGCUAGAGUGCAGGAGAGGAAGGUAGAAUUCCCGGUGUAGCGGUGAAAUGCGUAGAGAUCGGGAGGAAUACCAGUGGCGAAGGCGGCCUUCUGGACUGACACUGACACUGAGGUGCGAAAGCGUGGGUAGCAAACAGGAUUAGAUACCCUGGUAGUCCACGCCGUAAACGACGUCGACUAGCCGUUGGGGUCCUC
rnacentral:rRNA from 1 species